GACAGAGGGUGCAAACGUUGUUCGGAUUUACUGGGCGUAAAGCGCGUGUAGGCGGCUUUGCAAGUCGGAUGUGAAAGCCCACGGCUCAACCGUGGAAGUGCAUCCGAAACUGCAUGGCUGGAGUCUCGGAGAGGAAGGUGGAAUGCUUGGUGUAGAGGUGAAAUUCGUAGAUAUCAAGCAGAACACCUGCGGCGAAGGCGGCCUUCUGGUCCAGUACUGACACUCAAGUGCGAAAGCGUGGGGAGCAAACAGG
rnacentral:rRNA from 1 species